UUUCCGUAGGUGAACCAGCGGAGGGAUCAUUAUCGAGUAAACAACUCGCAAGCCCUUGUGAUCAUACGACAGGUUGCGCAGGCGGAAGUGCCCGCACACAGAAACAUCGCACGCCUAUGCGGACCACCCCGAGGGUCCCCCUGUGGCUGGCACGGAGGGGGGCUUACGUUUUCACACAAACUUUUUAUGCAAUGGAGAAUGUGUUUUUGGUUUUUGCGAUGACGGAAUCAGUACAACUGUCAACAACGGAGAACUUGGCUCACGCAGCGAGGAAGAACC
rnacentral:misc_RNA from 1 species